GACAGCAUACGGACAACGAUCCGGACGAGGGCCGGGACGAGGGACGGAACAUGGACCAACCCGGAACGACCCAAGGGACACUACCGGCGACCAAGGUACCUCAAAUCCUUUCGGGAGCUGUCACAAGGUCAAGGGGAGCUGCACGCAAUCUCAGGAUCAAGUGCAAUGCCUUCGCGGAAGAGUUCAUCCAAGUACACGACCCACGGCCAUACGGCCCCAUUGGACUCGACCAUCCGGACGAUCAUGAGCUUGUCCGGACCGUCUUCACCAUCACUAGGUGAAGGCAUCAAAGUCACUAGUUGGACGUGGUACUCUUUUUCCCUACUUGGGUUUAUCCCACGUGGUUUACCAAGAGGGUUUUAACGAGGCCAACGUACGCUAGCGCAUGACCACGCAUCUCCGCAUGACGUGGCCAUCUCUCCUUCCUUUCGUAAUAAAGCCGUUAGGCUCUUCUUGUCUUAUGGUUUGUAUUUUGACACGUCUAUCCUUGUUGACCCGCGCUUUGACUGUUUGCUUUAGGGUUUUAUGAGUCUCCCUUGUAAACGCCUAUAUAAAGGCCCUCUAAGUCACUUGUAAGGGUUAGCUUCUUUUGAAAUAAAAAUCAGUCCUUUCCUUUUCUCAUUUGUUGCGAAAACAUUGAGAGCUCCUUAGAGUCUUUGAAUCGGAUUCAAAGCCUCUAAGUGUAACCGUAUCACGAGCCCACCAUCCCUCGUGUGUCGUUACCUCGUUCCGCCUUCACACCCCUCUUCUCCAAGUCACCACCGGUUCGAGAUACUCACCGGUUGUCGCUACCCACCCUUGCAAAUCAUCUCUUUGGAGUCUAGGCGAUUCGAGCUACUCAUCGUCAACCUCCCUCGCCGUCCCGUAACCGCCGUAACCGCCGUAACCGCCGUAACCGCCGUAACCGCCGUAACCGAAGGCCCUGUCCGUACCGAUCGCCGACCGUACCAUCGUCCCGAAGGCUAUUUCCGUGACCGUGUUCUUCGUGUUCAUCGUGCUUUUCACCGUGUUUUUCAUCUUUUUAGGCUGUUAGAUCUUUAGUUGUUUUGUUCCUUAGUGUUAUCGCUGUAGUUUGGUGGCCUUGAAACCACGUGUAUCGUUUUGGGUCAUACGGUUUCGUACCGUUUGUCCUCUAGCGUUUUUGUUUUGGUCUUAGGUUGCUUUUUGUUGCUUUUUGACCGUUCUCUCUCCAAUCAUGAGCUGUCACCUUUGUUGAAAUUGAUUCCAUCUUAUCAACAUAUCGCAACCUUAAAACGCACGUGUUCUUUGUUUGGGACAGGGGGAACGAACCUCGCUAGCCGUACGGACCAAACGGACCACGACAACGACCAUACGUACCAUCGACCACCAGCCGCCGUCUGACAUUUCCCGGAUACCGGAAUCCGUACUAUGGCCGGACAAGACCCACCUAUAGCACCCGCUCCUCCACCCGACCUUGGAGUUAUUCUGACCCAAAUCCAAGCUCAAAUGAGACGGAUUGAUGAUCGGCUUUAUCUCUUGGAGCAAGCUAUACCACCACCCGUGCCCCUUGUACGACGGGUCCGAGACCAAAGACUACCACCAGUCGACGACCAAGAACAAGAUCAAGGUCAAGUUGAGGGACACACGUCGGAUGAAGAAGACCCCGACUAUCCAAGACGAAGAAACAACCGACGGGACAACGAACGACCAAUGGGUCCUAAUCUCACCGGACCCUCCUGCAAGCUUACCGUCCCAACCUUUGCGGGAAAGGUUGACCCGGAGGCCUACCUACAAUGGGAAGGCCGAAUGGACAAGGUUUUCUCUUGUUACAACUACCCGGAGAUACGAAAGGUCAUUAUAGCCGCCGCUCAAUUCACGGACCAUGCCCUUACUUGGUGGGACCGCGACGUCGACGACCGACGACGUAAUCACGAGAGACCCGUGGCCACUUGGGACGCAAUGAAGGCCAUCAUGAGACACCGAUACAUUCCCCAAUACUUUAGCCGUGACCUACAACGGCGAUUUAGGAAGCUCACUCAAGGAAUAAAAAGCGUUGAGGAAUAUUAUGAGGACUUUGAGCACUUGAGGAACCGUUUACAACUAGAAGAGACCGAAGAGGCUUUGAUGGCCCAAUUCUUAGACGAAUUGAAUGACCGGAUCACAAGGAAGGUUGAACGCCAAUCUUACCAAGGGUUUGAGGAGAUGUUGCACCUAGCCAUCCAAGUAGAACAACAAAUCAAGAAGAAAAUUGCAAGCACCAUCCGGACCAAGGGACAAGGACUUCCAAGUUGGUCGCCUAACGCCUCACCGUCUCAUGGGAACAACCGAGUAGCCGACAAGACCAACCGGGGUACCACCGAACCCAAAGCCGCCCGUAUCGACACAAGAUUCAAGCCCCGAGAGACCACCAAAGACAACCGUCCCGACCCAAGACCUCAACCCUCCGACUCAAGGACCCGAGACAUCAUUUGCUUCAAGUGUCAAGGCCGAGGUCAUUAUGCCCGAGACUGCCCCAACCAACGCACCAUGAUAAUCACCACCGCCGGAGACUAUGAAUCCCAAGACGAAGACGACGCCCCACAAGGCCAAGGCAUUGACUCUGAGAUCGAGGAAGCCAUUGCCGAACCGGAAGUUGGAGAACUUCUCAUGAUCCGCCGCAUGCUGAGCACAAGCCAAGCCAUGGACGACUCCAACCAACGCGACAACAUCUUCCACACCCGGUGCAUGGUAAGUGGGAAGGUUUGUGGCUUGAUCAUAGAUGGGGGCUCUUGCACCAAUGUUGCGAGUUCUUAUAUGGUCAAGAAACUUUCUUUGGCUACCACAAGCCAUCCCAAACCUUAUAAGCUUAAAUGGUUGAACAACAAAUCCGUAAUCCAAGUCUCGGAACAAGUGUUAGUUUCUUUUAGUGUUGGCCCCUACCAAGACCAAGUCUUAUGCGAUGUUGUCCCAAUGCAAGCUAGCCACCUAUUGUUGGGUCGGCCUUGGCAAUUUGAUAAGAAGACAUCGCAUUGUGGCCUUACCAAUGAGUAUACUUUUAUCCAUAAUAGUAAACGGAUUUGCUUAAAGCCUUUGUCACCCACCCAAGUCAAUGAAAUGCAAUCGAAAAUGUCUAGUGAACCUAGCUCUAAGUCGAAUUUCUUGGUUAAUUCUAGUGAUGUUAGGAGAUCACUAUGUGACUCCUCUUGCCAAGUGUUACUAAUGGUCUUUAAAGAUGUUUUGACUAUAGAUUGUGAAGGCAAGGACAUUCCGGAGGAGAUUAAGGCCAUCAUCAAGCGUUUUCAAGAUGUGUUUCCGGAAGAACUACCGCAUGGCUUGCCACCUAUCCGAGGGAUUGAACAUCAAAUAGAUCUUAUUCCGGGAGCUCAAUUGCCAAAUAGACCCGCCUAUAGAGUCAACCCAACCGAAGCUAAAGAACUAGAGAAGCAAGUGGGAGACCUCAUGAAGCAAGGAUAUGUCCGAGAGAGCCUUAGCCCUUGUGCCGUACCAGUUCUCCUAGUACCUAAGAAAGAUGGAACAUGGCGAAUGUGCGUGGAUUGUAGGGCCAUCAACAACAUAACCGUGAAGUAUAGACAUCCAAUCCCAAGGCUUGACGAUAUGCUAGAUGAGUUGGAUGGAGCCAUUAUUUUCACCAAGAUUGACCUCAAGAGUGGUUACCACCAAGUCCGAAUGAAAGAGGGUGAUGAAUGGAAAACGGCUUUCAAGACCAAGCAAGGACUCUACGAAUGGCUAGUCAUGCCAUUUGGCCUCUCCAACGCCCCAUCCACCUUUAUGCGGUUAAUGAAUCACAUCCUUAGACCUUUCAUUAAUAAGUUUGUUGUGGUCUAUUUUGAUGAUAUUUUAAUCUAUAGCCGUCGCCUAGAGGAUCACUUGGUCCAUCUAGAGAUGGUCUUGGUCACACUUCGAGAAGAAAAGCUAUACGCUAACUUCAAGAAGUGUGUCUUUGGUACUAAUGAACUAGUUUUUCUAGGUUUUGUUGUGAGUGAGCAGGGCCUUAGAGUGGAUCAAGAGAAAAUUCGAGCAAUAGAGGAAUGGCCUACACCGACAACCGUUAGUCAAGUGAGAAGCUUUCAUGGUUUAGCAAGUUUCUACCGGCGUUUUGUCAAGGACUUUAGCACUGUAGCCGCACCUCUUACCGCCAUCACUAAGAAGAGUGAAGAAUUCACUUGGGGAUCGAGUCAAGAAGCGUCAUUUCAAGAGCUAAAGAGGAGAUUAACACAAGCGCCUCUCCUAGUUCUACCAAGUUUUGAGAAGACCUUUGAAGUAGAGUGUGAUGCGUCCGGCAUCGGGAUUGGAGCGGUCCUAACCCAAGGAGGCAAACCCGUGGCCUACUUUAGUGAGAAGUUACAUGGCCCUACCCUCAACUAUCCGACUUAUGAUAAGGAGUUAUACGCUUUGGUCCGAGCUAUGGAAACUUGGCAACAUUAUCUACUACCGAGGGAAUUUGUGAUCCAUACGGACCAUGAGACCUUGAAACAUCUUAGAGGCCAAACCAACUUGAAGAAGAGACACGCGAAGUGGCUAGAGUUUAUAGAGGCUUUCCCAUACGUUAUAAAGUACAAGAAGGGCAAAGAAAAUGUUGUAGCCGACGCGCUAUCAAGAAGACACGCGUUGAUCACAACCAUGGAAGCAAGGGUUUUGGGUUUUGAAGGGAUCAAGGAAGUUUACAAAGAAGAUCCGGAGUUUGGGGAGAGUUAUAGGGAUCACGGCAAAGGAAUUCACUCACGGUUCUACAUCCAAGACGGGUUUCUCUUUCGGGACAAAAGGCUUUGCAUACCCGCCGGAUCUAUUAGGACCCUACUAAUGCAAGAGUCACAUGGAGGAGGCCUAACCGGGCAUUUUGGGGUUACUAAGACUUUGGAAGUCUUAAAGGAACAUUUCUAUUGGCCUAAGAUGAAGCGGAUGGUCGAGAAGUUCGUAGGCCGUUGCAUCACUUGCCGUACCGCCAAGGCCACCCCACGGCCACAUGGCCUCUACAAGCCCCUACCAAUUCCGAAUGCACCAUGGGUCGAUUUAUCUAUGGAUUUCUUGCUUGGAUUGCCUAUCCAAUACCGCAAAGACUCCAUUUUCGUCGUAGUAGACCGAUUUUCCAAAAUGGCUCACUUUAUACCUUGCAACAAGACAUCGGACGCCACGGCCUUAGCCAACUUGUUCUUUCGGGAAGUUGUGAGGCUCCAUGGAAUACCCCGUAGCAUCGUGUCGGACCGAGACCCCAAGUUCCUUGGUCACUUUUGGAGGACUUUAUGGAGAAAGAUGGGAACUAAGCUACUAUACUCAACCGCGUGUCAUCCUCAAACGGAUGGUCAAACGGAGGUCGUCAACCGAACCUUAGGCGCCUUGAUCCGGACCACCGUGGCAAGCAAUCCGGGCACUUGGUUAGAGCUACUUCCCCUUAUGGAGUUCGCAUACAAUCAGUCCGUGCAUUCGGCAACGAAGAAGUCUCCAUUUGAAGUGGCCUACGGAUUCAAACCUUUAACCCCCGCGAGUUUGCUACCCUUACCACCCAAUGAGAUAGAAUGUCAAGACGGAUUAGCCAAGGCCGAACUGAUCAAGAAGUUACACACCGAAGUCCGGGAAAAUCUAGAAAGAAGAACCGAGCAAUACGCGCGAAAAGCCAACCAACACCGCAAGGCCAUGAUUUUCAAGCCGGGAGAUUGGGUUUGGUUACACUUAAGACCGGAGCGGUUCCCACAACGUAGAAAGGACAAGCUUAGCCCAAGAGGAGAUGGCCCUUUCCAAGUCAUCGAGCGGAUCAACGACAACGCCUACCGCUUGGAGCUACCCGGUACGUAUAACACGUCUACUUCCUUCAAUGUUUCUGAUUUGGUUCCUUUUGAUGUAGGGAAUGAUGAAGGAGUUCUGAGGUCAGAACCUUCCCAAGGGGGAGGGGAUAAUGAGACCCAACCUACCGGACAGCAUACGGACAACGAUCCGGACGAGGGCCGGGACGAGGGACGGAACAUGGACCAACCCGGAACGACCCAAGGGACACUACCGGCGACCAAGGUACCUCAAAUCCUUUCGGGAGCUGUCACAAGGUCAAGGGGAGCUGCACGCAAUCUCAGGAUCAAGUGCAAUGCCUUCGCGGAAGAGUUCAUCCAAGUACACGACCCACGGCCAUACGGCCCCAUUGGACUCGACCAUCCGGACGAUCAUGAGCUUGUCCGGACCGUCUUCACCAUCACUAGGUGAAGGCAUCAAAGUCACUAGUUGGACGUGGUACUCUUUUUCCCUACUUGGGUUUAUCCCACGUGGUUUACCAAGAGGGUUUUAACGAGGCUAACGUACGCUAGCGCAUGACCACGCAUCUCCGCAUGACGUGGCCAUCUCUCCUUCCUUUCGUAAUAAAGCCGUUAGGCUCUUCUUGUCUUAUGGUUUGUAUUUUGACACGUCUAUCCUUGUUGACCCGCGCUUUGACUGUUUGCUUUAGGGUUUUAUGAGUCUCCCUUGUAAACGCCUAUAUAAAGGCCCUCUAAGUCACUUGUAAGGGUUAGCUUCUUUUGAAAUAAAAAUCAG
rnacentral:lncRNA from 1 species